AACGCGAAGAACCUUACCUGGAUUUGACAUCCUCGGACAACCCUAGAGAUAGGGCUUUCGUAGCAAUACGACCGGGAGACAGGUGCUGCAUGGCUGUCGUCAGCUCGUGUGGUGACAUGUUGGGUUAAGUCCCGCAACGAGCGCAACCCCUGUCCUUAGUUGCCAGCAUUCAGUUGGGCUCUCUAAGGAGACUGCCGUGGUUAACACGGAGGAAGGUGGGGAUGACGUCAAGUCCUCAUGGCCUUUAUAUCCAGGGCGACACACGUGAUACAAUGGACGGUACAGAGGGAUGCGAAACCGCGAGGUGGAGCAAAUCUCAAAAAGCCGUUCUCAGUUCGGAUUGGAGUCUGCAACUCGACUCCAUGAAGUUGGAAUCGCUAGUAAUCGCGGAUCAGCACGCCGCGGUGAAUACGUUCCCGGGCCUUGUACACACCGCUCGCGA
rnacentral:rRNA from 1 species